rnacentral:rRNA from 1 species
AUUGAACGCUGGCGGCAGGCCUAACACAUGCAAGUCGAACGGAAACAGAAAGCAGCUUGCUGUUUUGCGGACGAGUGGCGGACGGGUGAGAAAUGUCUGGGAAACUGCUUGAUGAAGGGGGAUAACUACUGAAAACGGAGGCUAUAACCGAUUAUCGUCCCAAGCCCAAAGAGGGGGACUUUCGGGCCUCUUGCCAUCGGAUUUGCCCAGAUGGGAUUAGCUAGUAGGUGGGGUAAAGGCUCACCUAGGCGACGAUCCCUAGCUGGUCUGAGAGGAUGACCAGCCACACUGGAACUGAGACACGGUCCAGACUCCUACGGGAGGCAGCAGUGGGGAAUAUUGCACAAUGGGCGCAAGCCUGAUGCAGCCAUGCCGCGUGUAUGAAGAAGGCCUUCGGGUUGUAAAGUACUUUCAGCGGGGAGGAAGGGAGUAAAGUUAAUACCUUUGCUCAUUGACGUUACCCGCAGAAGAAGCACCGGCUAACUCCGUG